GUGCCAGCCGCCGCGGUAAUACGAAGGGGGCUAGCGUUGCUCGGAAUCACUGGGCGUAAAGGGCGCGUAGGCGGACAUUUAAGUCAGGGGUGAAAUCCCGGGGCUCAACCUCGGAAUUGCCUUUGAUACUGGGUGUCUCGAGACCGGAAGAGGUAAGUGGAACUGCGAGUGUAGAGGUGAAAUUCGUAGAUAUUCGCAAGAACACCAGUGGCGAAGGCGGCUUACUGGUCCGGUUCUGACGCUGAGGCGCGAAAGCGUGGGGAGCAAACAGGAUUAGAUACCCUGGUAGUCCACGCCGUAAACGAUGGAUGCUAGCCGUUGGACAGCUUGCUGUUCAGUGGCGCAGAAAACUCAUUAAGCAUCCCGCCUGGGGAGUACGGUCGCAAGAUUAAAACUCAAAUGAAUUGGCGG
rnacentral:rRNA from 1 species